UGGGGAAUCUUGCGCAAUGCGCGAAAGCGUGACGCAGCAACGCCGCGUGGGGGAAGAAGGCCUUCGGGUUGUAAACCCCUUUCAGGAGGGACGAAGGUGUGACGGUGAACAGCCGUUCGCACUGACGGUACCUUCACAAGAAGCCCCGGCUAACUACGUGCCAGCAGCCGCGGUAAUACGUAGGGGGCAAGCGUUGUCCGGAAUCAUUGGGCGUAAAGCGCGCGUAGGCGGCCCGGUAAGUCCGCUCUGAAAGUCCAGGGCUCAACCCUGGAAAGCGGGUGGAUACUGCCGGGCUAGAAUCCGGAAGAGGCGAGUGGAAUUCCUGGUGUAGCGGUGGAAUGCGCAGAUAUCAGGAGGAACACCAAUAGCGAAGGCAGCUCGCUGGGACGGUAUUGACGCUAAGGCGCGAAAGCGUGGGGAGCGAAACAGGAUUAGAUACCCUGGUAGUCCACGCCGUAAACGAUGGGUACUAGGUGUGGGAGGUGUCGACUCCUCCCGUGCCGACGCUAACGC
rnacentral:rRNA from 1 species